UAUGGGUUGGGGUCGGCAGGGUCGGAACUGGGGAAACGGCGGAGAGGGGUCGGGUCCUCAGGGGUCGGAACCGAGGCUGGAGGUUGAGCACUUAAACUCGGGGAAGCUAAGAUAGGGGGGAUUAGGGACUCGGAUUAAGAUUAACUCGAGAGAUUUGGGGUCGGUCGUCACAACCUACCCCCCUUAAAAAGAAUCUCGUCCCGAGAUUCGGGUGUAAGAGUAACCAGUGGGGGUGUGCAGUCCUUACCUCCCUGGCUGGAAAGAAAACCUUGAAAAUGCUUGUUCAGAUACUCUUUGGUCUCCCAUGUUGCUUCAUUCUCUGUGUGGUUAUUCCAUAAGAUCUUGUACAUUUUCACCACUUGACGUCGGGUGCGCCUCUCC
rnacentral:lncRNA from 1 species